CCUGAUACAUUUUAUCUGCAAAAGGGGUGACUUUUUGGGGUUACUGCUGGCUGAUGCUGAUGUGGGUCUGCAGCAGCUCACUGCCCACUGCUGCCUCCUCCCUCCCGCAUAUUCCUCUGUUUGAAGCUGGGAGGAAGUGUUGUCUCUUUCUCCCAGUUGGCAAAUAUCACAGGGGCCCUGUCGUGCUCUUAGAGGGCCGCAGCACCUAAUUGGGCACCUGUUUACUGAAAACCAUCGGGUGACCCAGCAUUCGCGCCCCAGUACAGCCACACUGGCUGCACCGACGGUAGUACCGCCACUGCUGAGCUGUGUACUUAAAAUACAUCUAAAAGUGCUUUGUGAAAAGAGGUACAUGGCUAAAUGAAUACAGUUAUACUGGAGAAAGCUGCAAACCUUUUUUUAUGUGCCUAGAAUGUUCCUUUAAACAUCAUUAUUUAUCUUACCCUGCCUGUAUGCCAUCAAUUACCAUUACUUACAUAUCAAUGAAUUUAAUUAAUGUUCAUUCUGUAUAUCAUUAAUCAUAACUUGUAAGCACUUAAAUGCUAUUACAUUCCUGGUAUCCCUAGUAAACCUGUUUACCAUUAUAUGACAAAUGUUUUAUUGUAAAUUACAACGUUUUUAAAAGUUUACUAGCUGACAACUACAUGUGCAUAUAGUAAAUGACUGUGGAUGGUGUGUUUGAAGAAAUUAUUGAUUGUUCAUUCAAAUAAGAAAC